CGUGUAGGCGGUCAGGUAAGUGGAAUGUGAAAUGCCCCGGCUCACCCGGGGACCGGCAUCCCAAACUGCCUGGCUUGAGUAUGGGAGAGGAUGGAGGAAUUCCUGGUGUAGCGGUGAAAUGCGUAGAUAUCAGGAGGAAUACCGGUGGCGAAGGCGUCCAUCUGGCCCAAUACUGACGCUGAGGCGCGAAAGCUAGGGGAGCAAACG
rnacentral:rRNA from 1 species